UGGGCUGCCAAGGACUCAGCUGUGUGGA
rnacentral:piRNA from 1 species